rnacentral:rRNA from 1 species
AUUGAACGCUGGCGGCAGGCCUAACACAUGCAAGUCGAGCGGAUGAAGGGAGCUUGCUCCUGGAUUCAGCGGCGGACGGGUGAGUAAUGCCUAGGAAUCUGCCUGGUAGUGGGGGAUAACGUCCGGAAACGGGCGCUAAUACCGCAUACGUCCUGAGGGAGAAAGUGGGGGAUCUUCGGACCUCACGCUAUCAGAUGAGCCUAGGUCGGAUUAGCUAGUUGGUGGGGUAAAGGCCUACCAAGGCGACGAUCCGUAACUGGUCUGAGAGGAUGAUCAGUCACACUGGAACUGAGACACGGUCCAGACUCCUACGGGAGGCAGCAGUGGGGAAUAUUGGACAAUGGGCGAAAGCCUGAUCGAGCCAUGCCGCGUGUGUGAAGAAGGUCUUCGGAUUGUAAAGCACUUUAAGUUGGGAGGAAGGGCAGUAAGUUAAUACCUUGCUGUUUUGACGUUACCAACAGAAUAAGCACCGGCUAACUUCGU